rnacentral:rRNA from 1 species
GAUGAACGCUGGCUACAGGCUUAACACAUGCAAGUCGAGGGGAAACGACGGGGAAGCUUGCUUCCCCGGGCGUCGACCGGCGCACGGGUGAGUAACGCGUAUCCAACCUGCCUCUGACUGAGGGAUAACCCGUCGAAAGUCGGCCUAAUACCUCAUGGCAUCGUCUGCGGGCAUCCAACGACGAUUAAAGAUUUCAUCGGUCAGAGAUGGGGAUGCGUCUGAUUAGCUUGUUGGCGGGGUAACGGCCCACCAAGGCGACGAUCAGUAGGGGUUCUGAGAGGAAGGUCCCCCACAUUGGAACUGAGACACGGUCCAAACUCCUACGGGAGGCAGCAGUGAGGAAUAUUGGUCAAUGGGCGAGAGCCUGAACCAGCCAAGUAGCGUGCAGGAUGACGGCCCUAUGGGGUGUAACUGCUUUUAUGCGGGGAUAAAGUGAGGGACGUGUCCUUCAUUGCAGGUACCGCAUGAAUAAGGACCGGCUAAUUCCGUG